CUCCUUUUAAAAGCGCUCCUCGGGCCUUUUGGUAAUGACCCUCUGAGUCGUAAGGGAAGGGCAAAGCAAACAUAGUCUGCUGCUUUUGGGUGAAGCUGCAGUAUGUAGUGUUGUUUUGCUUCAAUCGGUGGUGUGACAACA